CUAAUGUGGAUACACCCAGGAGGUCACUCUCUCCCCAGGCUGUGUCCAAGUGGCAUAGGGGAGCCCAGGGCUCUGUCCCCAGGAUAUACAGUCCCUUUCCAUGACAUUGGAGAUGAAGCUGGGCCUCAACUCUGCACCAGCAUAUUCCUACAACUUCUCAGAGUCCUGGGGAUAAUGACGGAGGAGACAAACCAUGCAGGAAACUGCC
rnacentral:snoRNA from 1 species